UCUAAAUUUUACCCAUUCUAGUGGGUGUAUGGUAAUGGCCCACUGUACUUUGGGUUUUUUGUUUGUUUGUUUUUAUAAUUUUAUUUAUUUAUUCAUGAGAGACAUACAGAGAGGCAGAGACACAGGCAAAGGGAGAAGCAGGAUCCCUGCGUGGAGCCCAAUGCAAGACUCAAUCCCAGGAUCCCAGGAUCAUUGUGACCUAAGCCAAGACACUCAACCACUGAGACACCCAGGUGCCCCUGGCCCACUGUACUUUGAAUCCAAUAUCUCUCUGUUUGAAGGAAACCAGAGAAGCUUCAAGGCCAGAGUGAUCGCACAGGGUCCUCCUGAGUACAACACAUUCUCGAGAAGCUGCUGUACGUCACGAAGUUAGGACCCCGUUUACCAAACUUGCUCUGCGCACAAAGAAUUAUUCCAGCCAACGUCCUGAGAAUUUUACAACACAGCUAAAAAUGUUGGAGUUGGAUGAUAUGGAAUCUCAAGGUAAUUCAUUUUGCUCGAAUACAGAUUUGUCAAAGAAGCUUAUGCAUCACUACUUGUUUUGUCUGUUUGUUUGUUUACAUGUAGUUUAGGGAAGAGAAAUUGCAAGUGUCAGCGUGCCUCACCUAAAUCCUGCUCGUGGAGCCUAGUCCCGGAGCUGUGUGAAUGAGCAGCGGGCCCUGCAGUGGUCAGUCACCUCUGAGAAGUAGCCACCAAUCGCCAGUCUUCGCUGAGUAGUGCCCCAGCUGAGAUUUACUGCAUGCUCGUCACGGGCCGGAUGACACCAGGCACAUUUGCAGGAGGACCUUAUUCAAUUCUCACUGCAGCCUUAUGAGCUAACUGCCAUUAGUGUCUGUAUUUUUCAGAGGAGAAACCAGUAUUUCCAGCCCACAGUAGUGUAUUGAGAAUGGAGCUCCAAAAUUCGAUCACCUGGCCCAUCACCAGGCACCUUGAUUCCCCUCACCUUGACUCCGGGCUCUGAGCCUGACAAAUACAACGCAGAGGAACGGACGUCAGGCCCACCACAGAGAGGCUGGGGAUUUACAACUUGGGGCACAAGCCUGAUGCCAUCAGGAGCUUUGUCUUCAUGGCUCCAUGCUGCUCCAGCUGCAGAUGCUGGCAGGUGGGGGCAGAGGGACCCACAGCGACCCUGGAGACACAGCCUAGGACUUGGGUGGUCUGUCCCAGCUUGGGGAUGCUGGUGAAGGCCACAGGGUGCCAUCUGUGCCCCGGCCCACCUCCCCUUCUCCUGCCUCUUCUGACCCUGUACCCACCUUGUCCUUUCAAAGAUGUUUCUUUCUGCAAUCUCUACUCACUGGCUACGGGGCUGCCACAGACCACCUGUCUGCUCUAGCAACGGGGCUCCUACCCACCUUUCUGCCUCUCCCACCUCAUCUAAUGACCUGUUCCAACCUAUCCACUCAUCUUUUUCAUUUCACCACCUCUUUCAAUAUCCUCCCUAUAGACCAGGAGACCAAAUUUAAUUGUAGUAAGGGACCAACUGGGUAACAUUCGUAGAAGUAUCUGGGUGCCAAUCACAAGCAGUCGGGCCGUGGGCAAAUGUAUUCACCAUCUCAAAGAUUCAGAUUCAAAGGUAUUAAAACACCAUGAACAAAGCGAGUCUAGAGAAAUGGAAUUGGGUUGCCUCAUUUAGACCCAUUCAUAGACCUUGUCACUAUGGCUAAAUUACAUUCUUGGUACUAAUCAGUGAAACACCCUGGUUCUGAAAUCAUUAUGAUGACAAGAGGUGGGGAAAGAAAGCUGGCCUGCACCAGCCAGCUACGCUACUGACUAGCGUAUGGGCACAAUGCAGAAGAACCUUUUCUGCCUUGCUGUACCU